rnacentral:lncRNA from 1 species
CACUGUCUUAAAAUAACUUGCUUAGAUGUGAGAAUAUUUGAAAUACCUUGUUUCUUAAUUUUGUGUCUUUUUUUUAAUGGUAGAGAGACGGAAUGAAGAUUCCAACAUAUAAAUUUUUGCCUCUUAUGUACCAAUUGGCUGCUAGAAUGGGGACCAAGAUGAUGGGAGGCCUAGGAUUUCAUGAAGUCCUCAAUAAUCUAAUCUCUAGAAUUUCAAUGGAUCACCCCCAUCAUACUUUGUUUAUUAUACUGGCCUUAGCAAAUGCAAACAGAGAUGAAUUUCUGACUAAACCAGAGGUAGCCAGAAGAAGCAGAAUAACUAAAAAUGUGCCUAAACAAAGCUCUCAGCUUGAUGAGGAUCGAACAGAGGCUGCAAAUAGAAUAAUAUGUACUAUCAGAAGUAGGAGACCUCAGAUGGUCAGAAGUGUUGAGGCACUUUGUGAUGCUUAUAUUAUAUUAGCAAACUUAGAUGCCACUCAGUGGAAGACUCAGAGAAAAGGCAUAAAUAUUCCAGCAGAC